CUUCGCCGCCUCCCUCGUCAUCAUAAUUUAUGAUGUUUUCUCUCACGUCAUCGUCUGGACCUCCUUGGUACUUUAUGUGAGUUUCCCUUCUACGGUUGUAGACUACGAAGACCAGGACCAAUACUAAUAGAAAAAAUGGCUUUACAGCCAGAAUACACCCGACUAAAGUCAAAAUAAAAUCCUUCGAGGGCAUAAUGGCACCAACUGAGGCCAAUUCCAAUUCACAGUCCAACCCUGUUAAACCUGACGGACAGACACACUCGUACCUGAUUGGCGGAUGAUGAUCGAUACAAAUGCCACCAUUGGUACAGGGGUGCCAAUGGCAUUCGUUAAUAUUUUCACAUUUUUCUCCGGUUAGUCUAUAGCCUUCUGGACAGCUAUAAGAGCACUGAGGAUUUGUUUUUUAAGUGAAAAAUAGCUAUGGCUACGAGAGUGCGAAAUGAGCAUGCAGUACAGGGAUGGUUUCAGGCAAACCAAGAUGGCCGCCAACGCGCCCAUAGACAAUUUCAACGUUUGCCCUUCCUGGAUCAGUUGGCAAUUUUCGCCCCAGAAACCGUCGGGACAGUUGCA